CCUACGGGAGGCAGCAGUGGGGAAUAUUGCACAAUGGGGGAAACCCUGAUGCAGCAACGCCGCGUGAGUGAUGACGGCCUUCGGGUUGUAAAGCUCUGUCUUCAGGGACGAUAAUGACGGUACCUGAGGAGGAAGCCACUGCUAACUACGUGCCAGCAGCCGCGGGAAUACGUAGGUCGUGAGCGUUGUCCGGAUUUACUGGGCGUAAAGGUAGCGUAGGCGGACUUUUAAGUGAGAGGUGAAAUACUCGGGCUCAACUUGAGUGCUGCAUUUCAAACUGGAAGUCUAGAGUGAAGGAGAGGAGAAUGGAAUUCCUAGUGUAGCGGUGAAAGGCGUAGAGAUUAGGAAGAACACCAGAGGCGAAGGCGAUUCUCUGGACUGUAACUGACGCUGAGGCUCGAAAGCGUGGGGAGCAAACAGGAUUAGAUACCCCGGUAGUC
rnacentral:rRNA from 1 species